UCUAAACCGUUAGAUGAUUAGAAUCAAGGGCACAUAAGAAAGCAAUACAAAGCACAUGGAUCAUCAAUAUUACCCGUUGGAUACAAAUCACAAAAGAAGCUAAACCGUUAAAUCGUCUUUUAACCUAUCACCUUUUCCCUCAUCUCUCUCCAAACCCAUAUUUCCUGCCCAGCCUCCCUUCUAGUUCCUACUUCUCUCAACUCAUGUUAUCAUCUCAAAUGUAGUAUUUUUUUCGUCUGUAAAGUCGAGUUCAAGAUGGAGGGUUUUGGAAGCGCAGAGGUGGUGCAAUACGGCUAGAUUGUAUGAAGCUUGAAGCACCGAAGAAAAGAACAUCCCAUAUGUAGAUUCAUAUGUUACUGAGGAUUAUAAUAAUGAUGGAAAAUAUAGUUUUCAAUCUGAUUUUUGAUUUUCUCUCUCUUCGUUGCUCGCUUCAUCAUCUUCUUAUUCUCCAAACAUACAUAAAGUCGAGUUCAAGAUGGUGUAAAUUAUGGUUAUAUGAUGAACUAUGUGUUCGUUUGCUUCUUCUGGAUCUCUUUAUUUAUUAGCAAUUUGAUUUUAAAGCUUAGAUUUGUAUUUGCACUUGACUGAUAUUAUCACCGGCGGAGGCAUAAGCACCGAUCGACGUCUAGCGGUAGCAACAAGGACAGAUCAGCAACAUCGAACAAGAACAGGGAAGAGAGAAAAUUCACAACGCGCAGCCGGCAACAAGCAAGGCCUGCCACAGCUCUAACGACCAAACGAAUCGCGACUUAGCGACUGGUGGUAGGUCCGACUUCCGAGGAACCACCGCAGGUAAGGAGAAACAGGGAGAUGUAUCAAUUUUGAGUUUUCUUCCCUUCCUGCUUCAUUGUUGUUAGAUGAUCUAAAGACCAGGUUAUGUAGAAGAUUUGAGCUAGAAGUUGAAGAAACAUCUUUCUUGCAAAUUUUUAAGUGAAGAAUGAAGAUGCAAUAUCAAGCACUAAAUUGUUUUUUUUUUUGCCCAAAUUUCUGUAAAUUACUUAAUUGUAGAUUCAUUUCUUUAUUUUUCUGGAUGUAAAGUUAAACAAUCAAUUCAAAUUUGCUGUAACUUUUUCUUCAUUGUAUAUGCUUUAACUUCUACUUCAAUAAGAAUGAAUUUCAUAUUCA